GAUGAACGCUGGCGGCGUGCCUAAUACAUGCAAGUCGAGCGAACGGACGAGAAGCUUGCUCCUCUGACGUUAGCGGCGGACGGGUGAGUAACACGUGGAUAACCUACCUAUAAGACUGGGAUAACUUCGGGAAACCGGAGCUAAUACCGGAUAAUAUUUUGAACCGCAUGGUUCAAUAGUGAAAGACGGUUUUGCUGUCACUUAUAGAUGGAUCCGCGCUGCAUUAGCUAGUUGGUAAGGUAACGGCUUACCAAGGCAACGAUGCCUAGCCGACCUGAGAGGGUGAUCGGCCACACUGGAACUGAGACACGGUCCAGACUCCUACGGGAGGCAGCAGUAGGGAAUCUUCCGCAAUGGGCGAAAGCCUGACGGAGCAACGCCGCGUGAGUGAUGAAGGUCUUCGGAUCGUAAAACUCUGUUAUUAGGGAAGAACAUAUGUGUAAGUAACUGUGCACGUCUUGACGGUACCUAAUCAGAAAGCCACGGCUAACUACGUG
rnacentral:rRNA from 1 species